rnacentral:rRNA from 1 species
CAUGCAGGCGGUCGUACGCGUUUUGUGUGACAGCGGGUGGCUUAACUACUCGAGUAUGCGAAAGACGGUACGACUUGAGGGCUCGAGAGGGACACGGAAUUCCGGGUGGAGUGGUGAAAUGCGUAGAGAUCCGGAGGAACACCGAAGGCGAAGGCAGUGUCCUGGCGAGUGACUGACGCUGAGGUGCGAAAGCCAGGGGAGCGAACGGGAUUAGAUACCCCGGUAGUCCUGGCCGUAAACGAUGACCACCAGGUGUGGGAGGUAUCGACCCCUUCCGUGCCGGAGUAAACACACUAAGUGGUCCGCCUGGGGAGUACGGUCGCAAGAUUAAA